rnacentral:lncRNA from 1 species
CGCCGCUGCGGACACGGCCGACCACGCAAAGGGCAAAGGCGACGAGGCGCAGGCCAAGGUGGCGGAAGGCGCCGCCGCCGCGCACGAAUCUGCUCAGACCUGGACCGAGAUGGCGAAGGAGAAGCUGAACAUCUUCUCGUCGGAUGCGCAGGAGAAGGCAGGCGACACCGUGGACGCCGCCAAGGACACUGCGGGUUCCGCCAAGGACAAGGCAGCGGACACCGUGGGAACUGCCAAGGAUAAGUCGGCGGAGGGCGCCGCUGCAGCCCACGAGACCGGGCACUCGUACCUGGACAUGGCGAAGGAGAAGCUGAACGAAUACAUCAAGUAAGUAUCCGCGGUUCCUUGGUGCAAUUGUUGAUUGGAUGUUUUGUGGUGUCAGACGGGAUGUGUCGAUCGUGGGAAUCCAUGCGGUGGAGCGUGAGCGGGGAGACGUAGACGGUUGGGGGUGGUGGGGGUGUGGAACGAAGUGAAGCGGGAUGAAGUGCAGGGCGGUGGGUUUGUGAAGCCGUUGUAGCGGUUGAUAGAUCGGAUGGUUGCGUAGGAAGUGCGAGCAGGGUCGUGCAGGGACAGAGUCGUGGGUGUCGUGAGGGUCGGCACGGGGCAGGAGGAGAGGGAGCGAACGUGAGGUGUCAUGGGUCAUGUGAAAUGUGGAGGGAGCCGGGACAUGGUGAAAUCGCCGCGAUUAAUUAAUUGGUG